GGGGACGUUUUGGAUUAGACAGGAUGUUUGGUGAAAAUAGGUUGCGAGUGCGGGAGCUGUUCCCGCUUAUCAACGAGCAAAACAAAUUAAAUGCUAAAGAUUCAAAUGUAAUCGCAGUAGACUUCAGACCAGCUGCUAGAAUGGCUGCUUAGUCCACUGUUUGGCUACUCAUAACUCCCAUCUUGCCGGAUUUAUGGGUCAAUUAUGCAAGACGCAGUGCAGUGAUUGACGGUAACUGCAUCAAGAUAACCGCCAAAGGUUUAGAGUUUCCUUUAAAUAAAACCUAGGAUUAACAGUAUGGGUUUUGUGCUUUCCCUAGUUAAUCGAGAAAAUAAGUAACUACACUCGUAGAGAUUUAUUUUGAUCCAUUUUGGACGUGGGUUCGACUCCCACCGUCUCCACCA
rnacentral:tmRNA from 1 species